rnacentral:rRNA from 1 species
CCUACGGGAGGCAGCAGUAGGGAAUUUUCGGCAAUGGGGGAAACCCUGACCGAGCAAUGCCGCGUGAGUGAAGACGGCCUUCGGGUUGUAAAGCUCUGUUGUAAGGGAAGAACGGCAUAGAGAGGGAAUGCUCUAUGAGUGACGGUACCUUACCAGAAAGCCACGGCUAACUACGUGCCAGCAGCCGCGGUAAUACGUAGGUGGCAAGCGUUAUCCGGAAUUAUUGGGCGUAAAGGGUGCGUAGGCGGCGAGAUAAGUCUGAGGUAAAAGCCCGUGGCUCAACCACGGUAAGCCUUGGAAACUGUCUGGCUGGAGUGCAGGAGAGGACAAUGGAAUUCCAUGUGUAGCGGUAAAAUGCGUAGAUAUAUGGAGGAACACCAGUGGCGAAGGCGGUUGUCUGGCCUGUAACUGACGCUGAAGCACGAAAGCGUGGGGAGCAAAUAGGAUUAGAUACCCUAGUAGUC